rnacentral:rRNA from 1 species
GACGAACGCUGGCGGCGUGCUUAACACAUGCAAGUCGAACGGAAAGGCCCUGCUUUUGUGGGGUGCUCGAGUGGCGAACGGGUGAGUAACACGUGAGUAACCUGCCCUUGACUUUGGGAUAACUUCAGGAAACUGGGGCUAAUACCGGAUAGGAGCUCCUGCUGCAUGGUGGGGGUUGGAAAGUUUCGGCGGUUGGGGAUGGACUCGCGGCUUAUCAGCUUGUUGGUGGGGUAGUGGCUUACCAAGGCUUUGACGGGUAGCCGGCCUGAGAGGGUGACCGGCGACAGUGGGAAGGAGAGACGGAGCAGACUCAGACGGGAGGCAGGAGGGGGGAGUAGGGGAGAGUGGGGGGGAGCCGGAGGCGGCAACGCCGGGUGAGGGAUGAUGGGCGACGGGUGGUAAAAAGAUUUCGCCGGUGACGAAGGGUGAGGGACGGUAAUGAGUAAAGAAGAAACGGCUAACUACGUG